AUUGAUGGUCUUACACAUAGCUAUUUUAUUACUCUGAAUGUUUAGAACAGAGAAACAUCACUAUCAAUAGCUUCCAUCAACCAUGGAGUUAAAAAUUCACAUACAUCGGAUACAAUUCCAUCAAAUUUACAUACAUGAAUCAAAAGAGAAUGAAAACAGAGGCGCAACAUCUAAAAACACUAGUGCAUCAACUAAAUAUUCACAGCGUGAGACCUCUUUUCAUAAUGUUUGGUUACAACUUAUGUUGCAAGCUUCUCUUCAAGGUUACCCUGCAGUGGACAUAAAUGAACUUGUACAAAAGUGCAAGUGUCUCGCAUAAAAAAAAGUGCAAGUGUCAACACUUUGAUACAAAAAGGUGACAACAAACAGGAACAAUAUCUAUAAGAUAUAAUAAGCAUAAUCGAUCUGAUAUCUCAGUUUCUCGCAAUAACAGUGGCAUAUAUACACAACUUGUUUUUGUCACAGCAAAGUUACCCAAUUUUACAGCUAUAUGGAAAAAAUAAUGGAGUAAUUUGUGAUACAAUCAUAUCUCAGAUUUAUACAAACCAUGCAACUGAAAAAAUCCAUUCAAAUGACAACCUAACCACAUGCUUCUGGAUUAGUUAGAAAUAUUUAUCAGCUAACAGUCUGGAUUGAUGAGAUAUUAGAGGCUUCUUGCAAGUCAGGCUCAAAUCACAGUACCAAUGUCAAUACUCUUAAGUGCAAGUGCUCAAUGAUGCAUCACCACAAAAUUGUAUGGUGAGAAAAUAACAAGGAGUUAAGUCUAACCAUUUCAGAUGUUCGAGAAAAAUGGGCAGAGUCAUCAUCAUCUCCAUAACAGUAAAAACCAAAGGAUUAUGCAAUUAUUCAAUAAUGUAACAGCAGGGAACAGUACCUCUUUAUUCAGAAGAAUAAGUAGAAUUUCUUGCCUUUAUUGAUAACCUUAACGUCCUGCUUCAGCCUCCUUGUUGUGCUGAUCCUAUUCCGUGCAAUUUCCAUGCAACGGAUCAUUGAUCCCUAAAUCAUAACAUAAUGAAAGAGCAUGAAACCAAAAGGAUCAUUGGUGAGACAAUAAUACGUUUUUACAGUACUGCAUGGUGAGACAAUAAAGGGUCCAAAAGAAAUAGAGAGGGGUAGUUUGCAGAUUAAACCAACAUAGCAGCUACUGGCUCAAUAAUGUUGAUCUGAGGAUGUUGGGCACACUGAACACAGCACGGUAUGUUUUAAUAUACACAAG
rnacentral:lncRNA from 1 species